rnacentral:rRNA from 1 species
AGCAGCCGCGGUAAUUCCAGCUCCAAUAGCGUAUAUUAAAGUUGUUGCAGUUAAAAAGCUCGUAGUUGAAUUUCGGGAUCAAUGGGUUGGUCAUGCCCUCGGUAUGUACUGAUUUCAUUGGUUCUCACCUUCUAAGGAACCAUGAUGUCAUUCGUUUGAUGUUGUGGGGAAUUAGGACUGUUACCUUGAAAAAUUAGAGUGUUUAAAGCAGGCUAACGCUUGAAUACAUUAGCAUGGAAUAAUGAAAUGGGACAUCCGAUUCUAUUUUGUUGGUUUCUAGGAUCGAUGUAAUGAUUAAUAGGGAUAGUUGGGGGCAUUAGUAUUCAAUUGUCAGAGGUGAAAUUCUUGGAUUUAUUGAAGACUAACUACUGCGAAAGCAUUUGCCCAAGGAUGUUUUCAUUAAUCAAGAACGAAAGUUAGGGGAUCGAAGACGAUCAGAUACCGUCGUAGUCUUAACCAUAAACUAUGCCGACUAGGGAUCGGAUGAUGCUUAUUUUUAAUGACUC